rnacentral:rRNA from 1 species
CAGAUUGAACGCUGGCGGCGUGCUUAACACAUGCAAGUCGCGCGUGAAAGGACUUCGGUCCGAGUAAAGCGGCGCACGGGUGAGUAACGCGUGGAUGAUCUACCCAUGAGUUAGGAAUAACGGCUGGAAACGGUCGCUAAUACCAAAUACGCUCCGAUUUCAACUUCGGGGGAAAGGUGGCCUCUGCUUGCAAGCUACUGCUCAUGGAUGAGUCCGCGUCCCAUUAGCUAGUUGGUGGGGUAACGGCCCACCAAGGCGACGAUGGGUAGCCGGUCUGAGAGGGUGGACGGCCACAUUGGAACUGAGACACGGUCCAGACUCCUACGGGAGGCAGCAGCUAAGAAUCUUCCGCAAUGGGCGAAAGCCUGACGGAGCGACGCCGCGUGAACGAAGAAGGCCGUGAGGUUGUAAAGUUCUUUUCGGGAGGGGGAACAACCGUGGCAGGGAAUGGCCGCGGGAUGACGUGAAUCCCGGAAUAAGCCCCGGCUAACUACGUGCCAGCAGCAGC